CUCUGGGAGUCACCUGGGUGGUGGUCCUGCCCCUGCUUUGCCGCCUCAGUCACUCUGAGUCUCGGCCCCGCCCCGCCGCCCCCGCCUUCAGCACUAGGGACAGCGACCAGAGCUGAGAUGCCGCAUCCUCGAAGGUACCACUCCUCAGAGCGAGGCAGCCGGGGGAGUUACCGUGAACACUAUCGGAGCCGAAAGCAUAAGCGACGAAGAAGUCGCUCCUGGUCAAGUAGUAGUGACCGGACACGACGGCGUCGGCGAGAGGACAGCUACCAUGUCCGUUCUCGAAGUUAUGAUGAUCGUUCGUCCGACCGGAGGGUGUAUGACCGGCGAUACUGUGGCAGCUACAGACGCAACGAUUAUAGCCGGGAUCGGGGAGAUGCCUACUAUGACACAGACUAUCGGCAUUCCUAUGAAUAUCAGCGGGAGAACAGCAGUUACCGCAGCCAGCGCAGCAGCCGGAGGAAGCACAGACGGCGGAGGAGGCGCAGCCGGACAUUUAGCCGCUCAUCUUCGCAGCACAGCAGCCGGAGAGCCAAGAGUGUAGAGGACGACGCUGAGGGCCACCUCAUCUACCACGUCGGGGACUGGCUACAAGAGCGAUAUGAAAUCGUUAGCACCUUAGGAGAGGGGACCUUCGGCCGAGUUGUACAAUGUGUUGACCAUCGCAGGGGUGGGGCUCGAGUUGCCCUGAAGAUCAUUAA
rnacentral:lncRNA from 1 species